AUUGAACGCUGGCGGCAGGCCUAACACAUGCAAGUCGAACGAGUGGCGGACGGGUGAGUAAUGUCUGGGAAACUGCCUGAUGGAGGGGGCUAACUACUGGAAACGGUAGCUAAUACCGCAUACCAUCGGAUGUGCCCAGAUGGGAUUAACUAGUAGGUGGGGUAAAGACUCACCUAGGCAACGAUCCCUAGCUGGUCUGAGAGGAUGACCGGCAACAUGUGAACAGCGUCAAGGGCAAGACUCCUACGGGAGGCAGCAGUGAGGAAUAUUGAACAAUGGGGGCAAGCAUGAUGCAGCCAAGACGGGUGUAUGAAGAAGGCUUUCGGGUUGUAAAGUACUUUAAGCGGGGAGGUGUUACCCGCUGAAGAAGAACCGGCUAACUCCGUUCCAGCAGCCGCGGAAAUUG
rnacentral:rRNA from 1 species